rnacentral:lncRNA from 1 species
UGGAGAUGUGGAGAUAUGUCCCUCCACUUGCCAGUCUUUCCUUCAGGGUGAUGUACCCAAUUUAAACACUUCAGUUUAAACACAAGCAAAUGGCUAGUCCAAUCCAACAGGGCAGUCAUCAGGGACCUUAAAAUUCAUCUCAGUUGACCUCAGCAGUCUCACUGCAGAGCCUACAGGCUACCUUUCUCCACACUCCAGAGUCCGUAAGUGAUAAGCAAACAACUUGCUUUAUGGGCAGAAAGCAGCUAUAAUCCAGAGGAGGAAUGAGUCUUGCUUUGGCAGAACAGUACUGAGUCCAAAGUGCAGAGUUCUGGUACACAGCUGCAUGUAAAUUACUGUGAUCACUGCAUCACAUAUCACGCCUGGUGGCAACCAUCUAUUUCAAAAAAUCGGCUCAGCUACCUUUGGCUUUAUACCUGCUUUUCAGAUGCUUGUCCACAAUCCCAUUCCUUCCUCUAUGCUAGGUCCCAUGUCCCUUGGUACUGCUUCAGCAGCAAGCUGCGCUAAUCUUGGUUUAUGAGAGAGUCCAUCCAGCCUCAGAAGAAAUCUGACCAGUGGAAAGCCGAGAAGGAAAGUGCUGAUACUGUAAUGAGCUGUUCCUGUGGAGGUGAAUAGUAUUCCUUGUCCUCAAGGCACAGCAGAUGAAACAAGCUGCUCCUCUCUACAGCUGGGAAUUGCUGAAGGUUAAGCUUAUUAAAUUAGGAGACCUGCUGAGAAGGGAAUGAAGAGCUCUCCCAAAGGCAAAAAAUCAGAAAAAGGUUCUUGGGAGAAGAAAGCCAAGGGGAGGAGAGAAUGGUAAGCUACACCCUGCUCUGACAACAUCAGCGAACCACUGUCAGUGUCCUCUUCUAGGACUACGCUGUUGGCUGCGGGAGUCCCCACUCCAGGUACUGCACUGUACAAAAUAAAUAUUAUGUAUUGAAUAAAUGGUGGAAGUAC